UGUCACAUUCUAUUCAUUUCUAUUCUAAAGUUUGAUUUCUUAUUCUACUCUCAUUUUAUUUUUGUCCUUACAGACACCUGAGGUAGAAGUGCCACAAGACUUCUUAAAUUUUUCCACAACUUUAGCCAAAAUCCAAGACUUAUUUUCACUAUGGAUGUAUGCAAUCACACAUCCAUAUUUAUUCUUGAAAAUACACCAAAAAUAACUUGAAUUAAAAAGAGCACAGUCAUCUUGAAGACA
rnacentral:lncRNA from 1 species